rnacentral:sRNA from 1 species
GCUGGGUAUGGUGGCACAUGCCUGUAAUCCCAGUACCCAGGAGGCUGAGGCUGAGGUAGGAGGAUCACAAGUUAUAGGCCAGCCUCAGU